GAACGCCCGCGAGGCAUCGAUCAGGCAUCCAGCUCGCUUAGCCCGUCAGAGACGAAGCCCAACACACAGCCCACUUCGCAGCCGCUCGCAGCCUGUACCGUCGCGGCAGUGCGCGGCUCCGCGGGUCUCCUACUCUCCUCCGGUCCUCUCCUCCCCACUCCCCAGUCCGGCAGUCCCCAUCCCUCGCCUCGUCCCCCGCAUCCUACCGCGUGACCAUGCACGACACCAGGAGCUCGGUAGAUCACAUAGCCGGCGCCCCGUCGGCCGCUUCCAAUCUCUCUGUAGAGCGAAGCCUACCGUAACGGUGGAUAUGCAGAUCCUCCUACGAUGCAUGAAUCUUUAGGAUCGGCAGAGUUGGCUCCGGUCUGUCUCGCUUGCGAUGGUGGUGUCGAACGGUGGCCUCCUGCGUUUGCAUGAGGAGAAGCUCCACUCAUGGCGUUUAUCAGCCCAUCCAGGUACUCAUGAACGGGUACAAGGGCCGAUGAUUGGAGCAAGAAUAUAUCGAUUACAACAUGAGAUGAAUCUUCUCCUUAAUGAUUGUAAGCAUGUCUUUACUACGAAUCAUCUACUACCUAAUGGGGAUGUACUACUUGUUCUCAGGUUUGAACUUUGAAGCAUAAGCUAAUCGAAAGGAGUAAUCUGGAGAUGA